rnacentral:sRNA from 1 species
GCCGGGUGCAGUGGUGCAUGCCUAUAAUCCCAGCAGCUUGGGAGGCUGAGGCAGGAGGAUCACAAGUUCAAAGCCAAACUCAGAAAUUUAGUGAGGCUCUAAGCAACUUAGUGAGACCCUGUCUCUA